GACAGAGGAUGCAAGCGUUAUCCGGAAUGAUUGGGCGUAAAGCGUCUGUAGGUGGCUUUUUAAGUCCGCCGUCAAAUCCCAGGGCUCAACCCUGGACAGGCGGUGGAAACUACCAAGCUGGAGUACGGUAGGGGCAGAGGGAAUUUCCGGUGGAGCGGUGAAAUUCGUAGAUAUCGAGAAGGAACACCGGUGGCGAAGGCGGCCUUCUGGACAGUGACUGACGCUGAGACACGAAAGCGUGGGGAGCAAACAGGG
rnacentral:rRNA from 1 species